CCAGACUCCUACGGGAGGCAGCAGUGGGGAAUAUUGCACAAUGGGGGAAACCCUGAUGCAGCGACGCCGCGUGAGCGAUGAAGUAUUUCGGUAUGUAAAGCUCUAUCAGCAGGGAAGAAAAUGACGGUACCUGACUAAGAAGCCCCGGCUAACUACGUGCCAGCAGUCGCGGUAAUACGUAGGGGGCAAGCGUUAUCCGGAUUUACUGGGUGUAAAGGGAGCGUAGACGGCGGUGCAAGCCAGAUGUGAAAGCCCGGGGCUCAACCCCGGGACUGCAUUUGGAACUGUGCUGCUAGAGUGUCGGAGAGGCAGGCGGAAUUCCUAGUGUAGCGGUGAAAUGCGUAGAUAUUAGGAGGAACACCAGUGGCGAAGGCGGCCUGCUGGACUGCAACUGACGUUGAGGCCCGAAAGCGUGGGGAGCAAACAGGAUUAGAUACCCCGGUAA
rnacentral:rRNA from 1 species